rnacentral:rRNA from 1 species
UACAGAGGUCUCAAGCGUUGUUCGGAUUCAUUGGGCGUAAAGGGUGCGUAGGCGGCGCGGUAAGUCGGGUGUGAAAUCUUGGAGCGUUAACUCCGAAACUGCAUUCGAUACUGCCGUGCUUGAGGACUGGAGAGGAGACUGGAAUUUACGGUGUAGCGGUGAAAAUGCGUAGAUAUCGUAAAGAAGACCAGUGGCGAAGG